GAUGAACGCUGGCGGCGUGCUUAACACAUGCAAGUCGAACGGAAAGGCUCCUGCUUGCAGGGGUACUCGAGUGGCGAACGGGUGAGUAACACGUGGGUGAUCUGCCCUGCACUUCGGGAUAAGCCUGGGAAACUGGGUCUAAUACCGGAUAGGACGAUGGUUUGGAUGCCAUUGUGGAAAGUUUUUCGGUGUGGGAUGAGCUCGCGGCCUAUCAGCUUGUUGGUGGGGUAAUGGCCUACCAAGGCGUCGACGGGUAGCCGGCCUGAGAGGGUGUACGGCCACAUUGGGACUGAGAUACGGCCCAGACUCCUACGGGAGGCAGCAGUGGGGAAUAUUGCACAAUGGGCGAAAGCCUGAUGCAGCGACGCCGCGUGAGGGAUGACGGCCUUCGGGUUGUAAACCUCUUUCAGCAGGGAAGAAGCGAAAGUGACGGUACCUGCAGAAGAAGCACCGGCUAACUACGUG
rnacentral:rRNA from 1 species